CGACUACGUUACUAUUAGUAAUAACUCUGUUGAUUGUGAUUUGCCAUAGAGAUGUGAGGACAUAUGAGGCAAGAUAAUCAUUUUGGUUAUGGUGUCUCUAGGUAGUUAGCAGGUACUGAACAGUACCUGCUGAUUACCAAUGUUUUAUAGAAUGAGAUAG
rnacentral:ncRNA from 21 species